rnacentral:rRNA from 1 species
GACGAACGCUGGCGGCGUGCUUAACACAUGCAAGUCGAACGGUAAAGAAGAGAAACUCUAACUUCGGUGCAAGUUUCACGUGGGAGUAGGGGCAGAGGGGUGAGUAACUCGUUAUCAACCUACCUCUUACAAAGGGAUAUCCUCGGGAAACCGUGAUUAAUACCAUAUGACACAUUCAUAAGGCAUCUUAAGAAUGUGAAAGCUGCGGCGGUAAGAGAUGGGCUCGCGUCCCAGUAGCUAGUUGGUGAGGUAACGGCCCACCAAGGCGACGAUGCGUAACCGGCAUGAGAGGGUGAACGGUCACAAUGGACCUGCGACACGGACCAAUCUGGUACGGGAGGCAGCAGUGGGGAGUAUUGCACAAUGAAGGGACAUGCGAUACAGCGACGCCGUGUGAGAGAUGCUGCAAUUAGUUUCGUAAAGCUUUGUUCUAUGGGAAGAAAAUGACGGUACCAUAGGAGAAAGCACCGGCUAAAUACGUG